CAUUCUCUUCCCCCUCCUCUGCUUUCUCUCUCUCUCUCAUUUUUUUUAAAACAAUGAGUCUCUUAAUUUUGUUAUCAGAUACACAAGGACAAUUCAUAAAAAUAGAAAUAAUAUCUGGGAAGCGGUGGGCAUGCCAUUGGCACACAGGAGUGGCGAUGGCUAUUCUUACCAUUUCUUCUCAUUUCUGGCAGGAAUGAAUCACUUACUUCCAACGUUUCCUAAAGAGGCAAUGGGCUCCUGGGCCCUUUCUCACUCGGGAGGGCCUUUCCUCUGCCCCAUCAUUCUGAGGGUUUCUGGAAGCCCGAGAGGAAAGCCCCAUGCUAUCCCCAUUUCAUAGAUGGGAAAACUGAGGCUUGAGGACACUUUGCGGCCUCCAAGGGCUGUUCUCUUCAUUCCUCCAGCAGAGUGGAUAUGAGACGGUGCAGGGUCUGGAAUGUCUGGGCAGAAGGAAGAGCUGGAGCAAAGGCCUGGAGGCUGGAGAGCGCUGUCGGGGGGCAAGUGGGGCAGUGUCCCACUGCGGGGUUUCAUCUCAGCUCUGCCAUGUCUUGGCUACGUGACCUCUGACACCCUACUGGGCCUCUUUGAUCCCAGACUCACCUGUAGAAUGGGUGUGUGAGAAGAAAACCUUCUGGAGCGGGGUGUUGAGGAGAGAACAGUGCCUGACACAUCAUAAUAAUAAUGCUGAAUAGAUGUUAUUUUCAUUCCUAACCACUUCCUCCAGGAAGCCCAUCCUGACCUCUAGCUCCCAAAGUCACCUGGACUUCCUCCAUCACAGACCUUGCCACAGUGUGAGAAACUGCCUCAUCCACACACCAGCUUCUCACCUCCACCCAGACCCUCUGAUUGGGACUCCCCUGAAGACUGUGUCCCCAGAGCCCAGAAAGAGUCCAGCACAGAGCAGCUGAGGGGGCAGGUGCUGGUGAACAGUGUCAAUGAGCCCCUGCUACUCACCAAGCCCUUCACACACGGGUCCUUCAUUUAAUGUCUUUCUUCUCCUAGAUAGAACCUUGGCUUUGCCAAGACCGGUAUAGUUGCUGCUCAAGAAAUAUGUGAGGAAAUUGUUGAGAUGAACCAGCACUCAGGGGAAGGGAGGCUUUCUGAGGCUGGGGCCUUAGCAGGUGGAGCUCCUGGGAUAAUAAUAAUAAGAAAGAUGCCUGGACGCGGUGACUCACACCUGGAAUCCCAGCAAUUUGGGAGGCUAAGGCAGGCAGAUCACUUCAGGCCAGGAGUUCAAGACCAGCCUGGUCAACAUGGUGAAACCUGGUCUCUACUAAAAAUACAAAAAAUUAGCUGGGCCUGGUGGUGUGAGCCUAUAGUCCUAGCUUCUCGGGAGGCUGAGGCUGGAGGGUCAAUGAUUGAACCUGGGAGGUGGAGCUUGUAGUGAGCCGAGAUCGCGCCACUGCCACUGCACUCCAGGCUGGGCAACACAGUGAGACUCUGCCUCCAAAAAGAAAGACAACAAUAAUCAUUAGUCUUUACUCUGCUCCAGGCACCAGGCUGAGUCUUCUCAGUUCAUCUCCCCAGCAGAUUAGUUCUAUUAUUGUUUCCAUUUCACAGAUGGGAAAAUCAAGGCACAGGGAGGGGAGGUGGCUUACUCCAGGUCACACAGUUAGUGAGAGGCAGAGGCAGGAUCAAAGCCAAGCCUGUUUGACUGAGGAGCCCGCCCCGAGACCUUAACCACACAACCCCUCCCUAGAAGGAAGGUGCCACUACUGGACACAUUUUGGAGAUGGAAACCAAGGCUAAGAGAGUCAGGAUGGCCUGCCCAUGUCUGGACACAGAAACUGAGGUUAAGCAGGAGAUGCCCGAGGCGGGGUCCCUGUCUCCUAGGCCAGCACCCUGAAGAAGGGGUGGGAGACAACCCCCCACCCCCCAAGCUGUCCCCUGCUUGUUGGAGUUUCUGGUCAAUACCCUGGCCUCUGUUACCCAGCCCAGCACCCAAGACGCUGCCUCUUCCGCCUGCCUGGAGUCUCGGGUGCCUUCACAAUCGGAUUCUCUGUCUCUGCAGCUGCUUUCCAUUUGAGCCCUUUGUGCUG
rnacentral:lncRNA from 1 species